rnacentral:rRNA from 1 species
CAAACCAAAGCUGGCGACCGGCGCACGGGUGAGUAACACGUAUCCAACCUGCCUCAUACUCGGGGAUGGCCUUUCGAAAGAAAGAUUAAUAUCCGAUAGCAUAUAUUUCCCGCAUGGGUUUUAUAUUAAAGAAAUUCGGUAUGAGAUGGGGAUGCGUUCCAUUAGUUUGUUGGGGGGGUAACGGCCCACCAAGACUACGAUGGAUAGGGGUUCUGAGAGGAAGGUCCCCCACAUUGGAACUGAGACACGGUCCAA